ACAGCUGAUCAGGUACAUCUCCAGACAUUAGAGUAACAGCUGAUCAGGUACAUCUCUAGACAUUAGAGUAACAGCUGAUCAGGUACAUCUCUAGACAUUAGAGUAACAGCUGAUCAGGUACAUCUCUAGACAUUAGAGUAACAGUUGAUCAGGUACAUCUCUAGACAUUAGAGUAACAGCUGAUCAGGUAC